UGGGGAAUCUUGCGCAAUGGGCGAAAGCCUGACGCAGCGACGCCGCGUGAGUGAUGAAGGCCUUCGGGUUGUAAAGCUCUGUGGAGGGGGACGAAUAAGUCGGAGCGAACAGCUCCGAUGAUGACGGUACCCUUUUAGCAAGCACCGGCUAACUCUGUGCCAGCAGCCGCGGUAAGACAGAGGGUGCAAACGUUGUUCGGAAUUAUUGGGCGUAAAGCGCGUGUAGGCUGCGACGUAUGUCGGGUGUGAAAGCCCUCGGCUCAACUGAGGAAGUGCGCCCGAAACUACGUUGCUCGAGUGCUGGAGAGGGUAGCGGAAUUCCCGGUGUAGAGGUGAAAUUCGUAGAUAUCGGGAGGAACACCAGUGGCGAAGGCGGCUACCUGGACGGACACUGACGCUGAGACGCGAAAGCGUGGGGAGCAAACA
rnacentral:rRNA from 1 species